UACAGAGGUCUCAAGCGUUUGUUCGGAUUCAUUGGGCGUAAAGGGUGCGUAGGCGGCGAGGUAAGUCGGAUGUGAAAUCCCGGGGCUCAACCCUGGAACUGCAUUCGAUACUGCCUUGCUCGAGGACUCGAGAGGAGAUUGGAAUUCACGGUGUAGCGGUGAAAUGCGUAGAUAUCGUAAGGAAGACCAGUGGCGAAGGCGGGUCUCUGGACAGUUCCUGACACUGAGACACGAAGGCCAGGGGAGCAAACGGG
rnacentral:rRNA from 1 species